CCAUACUCGGGGAUAGCCUUUCGAAAGAAAGAUUAAUAUCCGAUAGCAUAUAUUUCCCGCAUGGGUUUUAUAUUAAAGAAAUUCGGUAUGAGAUGGGGAUGCGUUCCAUUAGUUUGUUGGGGGGUAACGGCCCACCAAGACUACGAUGGAUAGGGGUUCUGAGAGGAAGGUCCCCCACAUUGGAACUGAGACACGGUCCAA
rnacentral:rRNA from 1 species